CCAACUUGCACCCACCUCCCAAGCACCUUCCGCGAACUUGAACAGAAUCAUCUGGGCCUAGCAGGAAACUGAUUUGGGUGGCAUCAUCAGCAUCUUCACCAUUUACUAAAACCUGCUCUGCCUGGAACGAUUGCAAGAUUAGUCGAGAAUUUUUGCUGAUGAACUCCGGGAGGCCUCCCACACUGACCGUGGCUCGUAAGGCUGCAUGGUGGCAGGGUUGAGAAGGGCAUCGUACAACACCCUGAGGUCAUGAAGAAGACAUUCUUUGGAAGGUCUGCAUAAGCGUCGAGCAGAUGAUCGCUCGUCCGAAGCAUGCUCAAGUCUGAAGAGGCAAGUAAAGACAUCAGUUUGCAGGUUAGACCCACAUAUUCAUCUCAAGUGAAUAGGGAGGAGGCCAACCUGUACUCGACCGAGUUCGACUCAGCAUUACAUUUGACUGCGACAACCAAACCAUCGGUCACUGCUCUACCAGCAAGUUUCCUGAGGCAAUAAUCCAGCAGCUCUAACGAGCCAAUAGACGAAAAGGUUGCCCCUCGAAGAGCCCGCCAGUGAUUCAGGAUCUUCUGGUUUUUCUGUUGCAUCAGCUCCCGAAUUCUUCUCAUCGUAGCAGUCCUUGAUCUGCUGAGUUAUGAAACAGAAGAGGUCUCUCAAUGUCUUCAGUCUUCGAGGUGAAAGGAACACAUAAAGGGCAAUGGUCUUCUGCAGCUGGGUGCUAAGUGAUCGGUCAUCAAGGAGAGGAGUGCUGGAGAGACCAUCCACGGCCUUACGGUAAGCCUCAGUGGUGUGACCAAAGCUGCCGGUACCAAACUGGUAUCCCCAGUUUCCAUACCAUGGCUGGCCUGCGGUGACAGCUUGGAGGAGCCGGAACUCCAUGCCGUGCUUCUUGGACACAUCCAUGACGGAGAUUUUUCUGCUAGGGAAGAAUCAAUUUUGGGGUAGCAGCAGGGAUGAAACUCUUGUUUCUACAAUUCAUGCGUGGAGGCAGUGCUUAUAACUCUAAUAAGCUAUUAACUGAUUAUCCAGUAAUCAGAAUUUGUUCAGAUUGUUAUCCAAAGUAUCGAUCUCAAAUUACAUUUGAAA